CGAACGCGAACGUCCUUCGGUGGCGAGUAGAGUGGCGGACGGGUGAGUAACGCGUAGGAAUCUACCUAAGUGUGGGGGAUAACAUGAAGAAAUUCAUGCUAAUACCGCAUACGCCCCACGGGGUAAAGAGGGCCUCUUCUUGAAAGCUCUUGCAUUUAGAUGAGCCUGCGUCGGAUUAGUUUGUUGGUGGGGUAAUGGCCUACCAAGACUACGAUCCGUAGCUGGUCUGAGAGGAUGAUCAGCCACACUGGGACUGAGACACGGCCCAG
rnacentral:rRNA from 1 species